rnacentral:lncRNA from 1 species
CUGCACCAUGCCCACCUCUGUGCCCAGAGCUGCAGCAUCAAGUCACCCAUGGGUGGAAAAUCACAGAGGUGGGGCCUGCCUGGUCCAGAGCCCAGAGAUGGAAACGGUAGGGAGAGAGGGCGCCUGACACUUCCUAGCCUCCAGCAAGCCUGGAGAGGGGCGCAAGGCGUCCUUCUGCAUGUGGUAAAAUGCUUGGACUGAGUCUUGGAUGAUUGUGCCUAGCUCUAUCCUGCGACCAGCAAGCACUUGCUUUUCUAGAGGGAAGGGAAAGAAAGAGAAGGAACAAAGACCUGAGCUCCUCAAAGCCACCAGCUAGCUCAGCCUUCACGGAUUCAGCUCGGUCCUCUUGGCAAACUCUGAGAUGCUCAAGGAGGUCUUUGGAAUACUUCCAACUCUGAACGCUCCCCUCCAGGGAGUCCCCACUGUUCAAAGCCCCCGAGGAAUCUGAGUCACCUGCCCGUAGGCCUGGCUCUUCUGGGGGAGUCUAGAUCUGGUGGCCAGUGGCUACGGAUGAGCAGUGCCCCGUGCCCAGGCCAGGUACCCCUGCUGUCAGCUCCUAUGGCCCCUUUCUGAGCUCUGCUCCAUCCCUGCCUAGCCUGACAGCAGUUAGCAUGGUGGCCUCCCGAAAACACCAGGGAGCUGGAUGGAAGUCACAGGUCCCAGGACUACGAGGCCACUGCGGGGCCGGGAGUGGUGGCUGGGCACAGAGGCCCACUAUCCAAUGUGACAGAGAAGAACAGGCCCAGUUGCAGCCUCAGAAGAUGACUCCUUAGACACAGCUACGCUGCCAGCGACAGGGCCUGCCCAGCCAGCCCAGGCGGUCUGAAUCAGAACUCAAGACCCUCGAGAGCUUCCACGGCCCACGUGGGGCAGGGCACUGCUUAAGGGGGACUCUGGCAGGUCCAGGGAGCCACAGACAUGAAGCAAAGUGAGAGAGGAAGUGGAAGCACUGGGGGGUGAUGCCGGGAGGGAGGGAGAGAGUGGAGAAGAGUUCGGAAGAACAGGGAUGGAGAGCCGUGUGUGCUGAGGGAGUCCUGUCAGCAGCAGUUUGCUCGGCUGGCUCAGCCUGGGCCGGGGCCCACUGUGGCCUGCCGCAGGCGUGGGCCUGGCUUUGGUGGGAGCUGGACUCCAGCUCUGGGUGUGCCUUGGUGAGGAGGGCUGAGCUGAGCCCCUUCCGGUUCCCUCAGCGGUUGCCCUGCCUUGGCCGGGGCUCUCUUCCCAGACCCACGGCCGGGAGUUUUGCAGAUAUCUGGCCCUUCAGCUCCACCAGGAGGCAAAUUAAGGGAACACGCGUGGAAGGAGCUGAACCAGCCACAUUCGAACACUGUCUCUGAGCGAGCCCAGUGCAGAUAGCUGGGGCUAUGGCGUGACUGGGAAAAGGAAAGGGUUUUCCCAGAGCUGUCCUCAAGGAGCUGGAGUCGCUUGGUGGAGUUUCAGCCUCUGGGUGCCCUGGCUUGCCCUUGGCGAGGUGGUCCUGGAAGUGAAGUGACCAGGACUGGGAAAUGGCAAAGAUCGAAGAGGGGAGGCAGAGACUGGAGAAGCUAAACCAAGCAACAGCCUGAGACUAAGUGCCAAGUGUGUAAAUACAUUCUGGCCAAA